ACUCCUACGGGAGGCAGCAGUGGGGAAUAUUGCACAAUGGGGGAAACCCGUGAUGCAGUUUAUGCCGCGUGUGUGAAGAAGGCCUUCGGGUUGUAAAGCACUUUCAGUAGGGAGGAAGGUAGUGUAGUUAACACCUGCAUUAUUUGACGUUACCUACAGAAGAAGCACCGGCUAACUCCGUGCCAGCAGCCGCGGUAAUACGGAGGGUGCGAGCGUUAAUCGGAAUUACUGGGCGUAAAGCGCAUGCAGGUGGUUUGUUAAGUCAGAUGUGAAAGCCCGGGGCUCAACCUCGGAAUUGCAUUUGAAACUGGCAGACUAGAGUACUGUAGAGGGGUGAGAA
rnacentral:rRNA from 1 species